UACAAAGGAAUUGACGGGACCCGCACAAGCAGCGGAGCGUGUGGUUUAAUUCGUUGCUACACGAAGAACCUUACCUGGGUUUGACAUAUAGGUUGUAGGGAACUGAAAAGGGACCGACCCUUCGGGGAGCCUAUACAGGUGUUGCAUGGCUGUCGUCAGCUCGUGUCGUGAGAUGUUCGGUUAAGUCCGCUAACGAGCGCAACCCUCGUCGUAUGUUAUAUGUGUCAUACGAGACUGCCGGUAAAAAGCCGGAGGAAGGUGAGGAUGAUGUCAAGUCAGCAUGACCUUUAUAUCCAGGGCUACACACACGCUACAAUGGUCUGUACAAUGGAUAGCCAAGCCGCGAGGCGGAGCCAAUCCUGAAAGCAGGCCUCAGUUCAGAUUGCAGUCUGCAACUCGACUGCAUGAAGCCGGAGUUGCUAGUAACCGCAGGUCAGCAAUACUGCGGUGAAUACGUUCCCGGGUCUU
rnacentral:rRNA from 1 species